CACACGACUCUCGGCAACGGAUAUCUCGGCUCUCGCAUCGAUGAAGAACGUAGCAAAAUGCGAUACCUGGUGUGAAUUGCAGAAUCCCGUGAACCAUCGAGUUUUUGAACGCAAGUUGCGCCCGAGGCCUUUUGGUCGAGGGCACGCCUGCCUGGGCGUCACGC
rnacentral:rRNA from 1 species